rnacentral:rRNA from 1 species
GACGAACGCUGGCGGCGUGCCUAAUACAUGCAAGUGGAACGCUGAAGGAGGAGCUUGCUUCGCUGGAUGAGUUGCGCACGGGUGAGUAACGUGUAGGUAACCUUGCUGGUAGGGGGGGAUAACUGUUGGAAACGAUAGCUAAUACCGCAGAAGAGUAGAUGAUGCAUGAGAUUUUCUUGAAAGGUGGAAUUGCAACACUACCAGAUGGAACUGCGUUGUAUUAGCUGGAUGGGGGGGUAACGGCGCACCAAGGCAACGAUCCGUAGCUGACCUGAGAGGAGGAUGAGGCACACUGGAAAUGAGACACGGUCCAGACUCCUACGGGAGGCAGCAGUGGGGAAUAUUUGAAAAUGGGCGAAAGCCUGAUCCAGCCAUGCCGCGUGUGUGAAGAAGGUCUUCGGAUUGUAAAGCACUUUAAGUUGGGAGGAAGGGCAGUAAGUUAAUACCUUGCUGUUUUGACGUUACCAACAGAAUAAGCACCGGCUAACUUCGUG